GGUUAAGCGACUAAGCGUACACGGUGGAUGCCCUGGCAGUCAGAGGCGAUGAAGGACGUGCUAAUCUGCGAUAAGCGUCGGUAAGGUGAUAUGAACCGUUAUAACCGGCGAUUUCCGAAUGGGGAAACCCAGUGUGUUUCGACACACUAUCAUUAACUGAAUCCAUAGGUUAAUGAGGGCGAACCGGGGGAACUGAAACAUCUAAGUACCCCGAGGAAAAGAAAUCAACCGAGAUUCCCCCAGUAGCGGCGAGCGAACGGGGAGGAGCCCAGAGCCUGAAUCAGUGUGUGUGUUAGUGGAAGCGUCUGGAAAGGCGCGCGAUACAGGGUGACAGCCCCGUACACAAAAAUGCACAUGCUGUGAGCUCGAUGAGUAGGGCGGGACACGUGGUAUCCUGUCUGAAUAUGGGGGACCAUCCUCCAAGGCUAAAUACUCCCUGACUGACCGAUAGUGAACCAGUACCGUGAGGGAAAGGCGAAAAGAACCCCGGCGAGGGGAGUGAAAAAGAACCUGAAACCGUGUACGUACAAGCAGUGGGAGCACAGAGCAAUCUGUGUGACUGCGUACCUUUUGUAUAAUGGGUCAGCGACUUAUAUUCUGUAGCAAGGUUAACCGAAUAGGGGAGCCGAAGGGAAACCGAGUCUUAACUGGGCGUUAAGUUGCAGGGUAUAGACCCGAAACCCGGUGAUCUAGCCAUGGGCAGGUUGAAGGUUGGGUAACACUAACUGGAGGACCGAACCGACUAAUGUUGAAAAAUUAGCGGAUGACUUGUGGCUGGGGGUGAAAGGCCAAUCAAACCGGGAGAUAGCUGGUUCUCCCCGAAAGCUAUUUAGGUAGCGCCUCGUGAAUUCAUCUCCGGGGGUAGAGCACUGUUUCGGCAAGGGGGUCAUCCCGACUUACCAACCCGAUGCAAACUGCGAAUACCGGAGAAUGUUAUCACGGGAGACACACGGCGGGUGCUAACGUCCGUCGUGAAGAGGGAAACAACCCAGACCGCCAGCUAAGGUCCCAAAGUCAUGGUUAAGUGGGAAACGAUGUGGGAAGGCCCAGACAGCCAGGAUGUUGGCUUAGAAGCAGCCAUCAUUUAAAGAAAGCGUAAUAGCUCACUGGUCGAGUCGGCCUGCGCGGAAGAUGUAACGGGGCUAAACCAUGCACCGAAGCUGCGGCAGCGACACUGUGUGUUGUUGGGUAGGGGAGCGUUCUGUAAGCCUGUGAAGGUGUGCUGUGAGGCAUGCUGGAGGUAUCAGAAGUGCGAAUGCUGACAUAAGUAACGAUAAAGCGGGUGAAAAGCCCGCUCGCCGGAAGACCAAGGGUUCCUGUCCAACGUUAAUCGGGGCAGGGUGAGUCGACCCCUAAGGCGAGGCCGAAAGGCGUAGUCGAUGGGAAACAGGUUAAUAUUCCUGUACUUGGUGUUACUGCGAAGGGGGGACGGAGAAGGCUAUGUUGGCCGGGCGACGGUUGUCCCGGUUUAAGCGUGUAGGCUGGUUUUCCAGGCAAAUCCGGAAAAUCAAGGCUGAGGCGUGAUGACGAGGCACUACGGUGCUGAAGCAACAAAUGCCCUGCUUCCAGGAAAAGCCUCUAAGCAUCAGGUAACAUCAAAUCGUACCCCAAACCGACACAGGUGGUCAGGUAGAGAAUACCAAGGCGCUUGAGAGAACUCGGGUGAAGGAACUAGGCAAAAUGGUGCCGUAACUUCGGGAGAAGGCACGCUGAUAUGUAGGUGAAGUCCCUCGCGGAUGGAGCUGAAAUCAGUCGAAGAUACCAGCUGGCUGCAACUGUUUAUUAAAAACACAGCACUGUGCAAACACGAAAGUGGACGUAUACGGUGUGACGCCUGCCCGGUGCCGGAAGGUUAAUUGAUGGGGUCAGCGCAAGCGAAGCUCUUGAUCGAAGCCCCGGUAAACGGCGGCCGUAACUAUAACGGUCCUAAGGUAGCGAAAUUCCUUGUCGGGUAAGUUCCGACCUGCACGAAUGGCGUAAUGAUGGCCAGGCUGUCUCCACCCGAGACUCAGUGAAAUUGAACUCGCUGUGAAGAUGCAGUGUACCCGCGGCAAGACGGAAAGACCCCGUGAACCUUUACUAUAGCUUGACACUGAACAUUGAGCCUUGAUGUGUAGGAUAGGUGGGAGGCUUUGAAGUGUGGACGCCAGUCUGCAUGGAGCCGACCUUGAAAUACCACCCUUUAAUGUUUGAUGUUCUAACGUGGACCCGUGAUCCGGGUUGCGGACAGUGUCUGGUGGGUAGUUUGACUGGGGCGGUCUCCUCCUAAAGAGUAACGGAGGAGCACGAAGGUUGGCUAAUCCUGGUCGGACAUCAGGAGGUUAGUGCAAUGGCAUAAGCCAGCUUGACUGCGAGCGUGACGGCGCGAGCAGGUGCGAAAAGCAGGUCAUAGUGAUCCGGUGGUUCUGAAUGGAAGGGCCAUCGCUCAACGGAUAAAAAGGUACUCCGGGGAUAACAGGCUGAUACCGCCCAAGAGUUCAUAUCGACGGCGGUGUUUGGCACCUCGAUGUCGGCUCAUCACAUCCACCGGGGCUGAAGUAGGUCCCAAGGGUAUGGCUGUUCGCCAUUUAAAAGUGGUACGCGAGCUGGGUUUAGAACGUCGUGAGACAGUUCGGUCCCUAUCUGCCGUGGGCGCUGGAGAACUGAGGGGGCUGCUCCUAGUACGAGAGGACCGGAGUGGACGCAUCACUGGUGUUCGGGUUGUCAUGCCAAUGGCACUGCCCGGUAGCUAAAUGCGGAAGAGAUAAGUGCUGAAAGCAUCUAAGCACGAAACUUGCCCCGAGAUGAGUUCUCCCUGACCCUUUAAGGGUCCUGAAGGAACGUUGAAGACGACGACGUUGAUAGGCCGGGUGUGUAAGCGCAGCGAUGCGUUGAGCUAACCGGUACUAAUGAACCGUGAGGCUUAACCUU
rnacentral:rRNA from 1 species